rnacentral:tRNA from 1 species
GUUUCCGUAGUGUAGCGGUUAUCACGUUCGCCUCACACGCGGAAAUUAUGGUUCGAAUCCACCACCGGCCACC